ACUACGGGUGGCAGCAGUGGGGAAUAUUGGACAAUGGGCGAAAGCCUGAUCCAGCCAUGCCGCGUGUGUGAAGAAGGCCUUCGGGUUGUAAAGCACUUUCAGUGGGGAAGAAAGCCUUGGGGCUAAUACCCUCGAGGAAGGACAUCACCCACAGAAGAAGCACCGGCUAACUCCGUGCCAGCAGCCGCGGUAAUACGGAGGGUGCGAGCGUUAAUCGGAAUUACUGGGCGGAAAGCGCGCGUAGGCGGUCUGAUAAGCCGGUUGUGAAAGCCCCGGGCUCAACCUGGGAACGGCAUCCGGAACUGUCAGGCUAGAGUGCAGGAGAGGAAGGUAGAAUUCCCGGUGUAGCGGUGAAAUGCGUAGAGAUCGGGAGGAAUACCAGUGGCGAAGGCGGCCUUCUGGACUGACACUGACGCUGAGGUGCGAAAGCGUGGGUAGCAAACAGGAUUAGAUACCCUUGUAGUC
rnacentral:rRNA from 1 species